UGUAAAAAGUGGAAAGUGAGCCCUGGCUUGUGCCAGCUGUCCAGACGACUUACCAGCACAGAACGUCCCCCAUGCUAAACCCAAUGCUCUCGAAGUUGCCCUCAAUGUGCAGCGUGACUUUAACGAACGCGUUCAGACCGGCCUGCAACAACAAUUAAGUACCAAACAGACCCGGAAAAACACUACCUCUGUUAAACCGACGUGUGUUUGGGUAUCGCAUCCAGCUCGUUGCAGCCAUGUUCCCCAAGCGCCCAGACCCUAACCAAAACAACCAGUCCCACUUAUUGUUAUAAAUUAAAAUAAAAACACGGCAUUAUCAAAUUUUUUGUACACUAUUAGAACCACAAAACUGUCAAACUAUGGUGGUUAGGUUAGGCGUUGAGGAGGAGAUGGACUGUCAAGCGGCGCUGCCACAUCUGCACCACCGAUUUUUCCCACAAUGUUUAAUUUUUCCGAGUUUCACGAAUUCAACGAAACUUUGUGGGACUCAACACUUGCAAGUUACGUCGAAGUUUCGACGAUUUUUUAUUUUAUUUUUUGAAAACAGGCUGACCAACUGUCAACAGGUGAGGCGACAACAUGACGCACAUUUUCCGAUUUUUUUCGGUUUUUCUGUGAUGAUUAAGGCGAAAUGACGCCGCUUGACUAUUUUUAUAAUUGGGCCCAGUCAGGCGUUUCAAUUUAUUGCGGAAAUUGGGUUUUUGAUUUGUAUCCGCGACGACGACCGAAGACUAAACACGGAUUCUUAACCGUUGGGGAAAACAAAUGAUGACUCAAUUGUCUUUUUUUGGAGAAAUAAAGCGCAGUAUUUAAUUAAAACAA